ensembl:snoRNA
UACCACAGCUACUGGUCUGCAGCUGUUCUUACGGUGGCAGCUGUGGCAUUCCUCUGUGGGAAAGAAAAUGUGACACAUUCAAUGCCUCUUUCUUAGGCCAAGCAGAAAGUAGGCAUAUGUGUGACAGACACAA